rnacentral:lncRNA from 1 species
CAAAAUGCAACCACUAUGAGUCGACUAGUCAAUUACAUCCCAAAAUUUUAAUCAGAAGUAAACAAGUCGGCUCUCCCCAAAAUUCUUUCCAUUCCGAGCUCCUGUUAAGGAAAAACAAACUAAUGGGAUGAGCUGACGCUCAGUGAGACCAAAAAAAACAUGCAAAUACAUAGUUCACAUACCCAUGACAUUUGUACGAAAAUUAAAAUAAGAAAAUUCAAGUAAUUCACAAAUAAUAAUAACACACAUUCAAUAAGGAUACAGGAGCUCUCAGGAGUUAGGUUCCACAUGUUUCGCCAAGGCUCGAUCAAAUACUUUCCCGCGAUGACACUCCGUCAACCGGGUAGGUAUUAAGUGCGUAAAACUCCACUUACUCUGCUCUCCUGUUCACCGUUACACCCUUGCUCUGGGCCCGCACUUCUUUUAUAAAAGGCACUACUCCACGAGUAUGUCAAGCGAGAUCUCUUAAUAGAUCAAGCUUUUGAUUAUCUCAUGGUUCACCGAGCUUCGCGAGCAAGCCCAUGCUGGCUCGAAUCGCAAGGUCGGUCAAUUGAGAUUUAGGCGUCCCCCGAUUAUUAUUAUGAGUCGAUGAGAUUCACUCCAAUCGACAAAUACAAUUAUAAGCCGAUGAGAUUCACUCCAAUCGGCAUGUUCAACCACAAAUAUAAAUUCAACUAUGAGCAAUUCAAUUGUAUAAUCAAUUAAAAGAGAACGAGUGCGAUAAAGUACACACUUGACUCGACAAUUGUAAAUCAGAUAAUCAAUAAGAAGCAAUUCACAUAAUUGGCAACUAUUCAUGCACUUGACACUCACCAAUUCAAAAUAAGUGAGUAAGUGCAAAUAAGAUCUUUAGUGGUCAGCUCCGAGGUUCUCUUCAAAAUUCUCUUGAGUGCCUGAAGAAAUAACAUUUAACUAUCACUCACAAAUAUUUACAAACCCCUUGCCAAAUAAGGAAGAAUGUAUACUUGCGUAAUAUUAAGACAACGUCUUAAAAGAGUUUUAAUAUCUCGAAAAUCGAGAUUCAAAAGUGAGAAUUUAAAGUCACAAGACAAACUUGCAUCCUUCAUGAAAAUGAGUUUAAAACGGAUGAUCGAUAUCGAAAGACAAUGAAAAGUUCUCAAAACUCAUUUCCCAAGAAAUCAUGAAUUUUCAGCUUUGCGCGAUAAAUUUUGUAAAAUCAGAUCUGGAGUUCAGUAUGACCAAAAAUGGAAAAAUUUAUACCGUUGUAAACUAAAUUCAAAGUACUAAAAGUUUCUAGAAAACACUUUUCCAAGAUUCUAAACGGAGAACCUUCAUAUUUCAGCUCAAAUUUGCUGAUUGAAGAAGGUAAGACAGAACCAGUCUUGGUUUUCGGCGAUAUUUGGAAAUUCGGAAAAAUUCACAAAAAAUGAAUCAGCCUUUGAAAUUUGUAACACAAUAAGAGUCCUAUACAAAGUUUCAAGCACAACAAACGGAACAAAAUUCGGAGUUUUGAACAACAAGAUAUAACAGUUUAAAUUCGGUUGAUUUUUGUAAUCUGAUCAGUGAAUUUUCAGAUUUGAGAAGCAAUGUUUGGGGCAUUAUUUGGGCAUCGAAAUGGUAUUGAAAUUAUACCAAAUUUGGUACACUUAAACCUCCAUAUGUGGACUACCUCUCUAUCAAAGUUUAGAUUGAAACUCACACGGGAAGGUAGUUAACGAAACGACCAAAGUUUGCGAAAUGUUUCAAAGCUAAUCUGCCACCCUACUUCUCUUUCUUUUUCAAACGUUUUGUCCAACGAAGCCAGCCCCAAUUCGCUCCAUUUUUUAAACCAAGAUCCCAAAAACAUUUAAUAAGCAAUUUAUGGUUAAAUAAGACUAAAAUUUUGGAAAUAUAAUAUCCCAAAACAGAUUUUACCAUUUGGUCAGCAAGGAAGGGAAAAGUUUCCAGUUUCCAGUUCUGUCGCAUUUCCGAAAUCAAACCAUAUCUAGCUCUGUACAACUCCAAAUUGAGAAUGGUUUACGGCAUUGGAAACUAGGUUCCAAAUUCUACAAUUCAUCAGGAGACAUCAUUUUGAAAAUAUUUUCACAAAUGGGACAAAAUCAAGCCACAAGAUGCAGCUUCCCAGUUUCAUUCGAACAGACAGUCAAAACAGAACAGCCAACUUUUUGGACUCAUUACGGUUCACUCAAAAUGAACUACAGGGGAUUUUUAUACCGUUGGAAAGCUAUGAAUGUCUAGUUUUGAAUGCUAAUUUUGAAUUUUAUAAAAAGAGUUAUGUUCGGACAAAGAAGUACUGUCCGAGUACCCUACUAUGUGUUUUCCAGAUUUGAAUCUUCACCAAAACUAAAGUUUUGCACAACCAUUCAAUACAAUUUUUGAAAGGCACUUUGUACACACAAUAUACAACAUAUAUCCAUCAAUUUCACAGCCAACCAAGCAUCAAAAUUUCGAAAUAAAAACAGAACAACAUGGACAGAAUUUUCGGCCGGCUUGCCUUCACAAUUUUCCUUCGAUUUCUCUCCACUUUCUAACCAUAAACAUCUCAUUUAUCACAUAAACAACCAUAAUCAAACAAUCAAGCCUCAAGUCAGAUAUCUAGAGGCCUCAUCAAGACAGCUAACCUAUGAUUUAAAGCGAGAGAAAUGGUUCCUCAAGUCCGCUAGGCUAUAAACGCGAUUAGGGUUUCAAACCCAUGAAAAUUAACCGUUAAACUUCUUAUAAUUUGAAAGGUUAAAGACGUUGAGUGCUUACCCUUUAAAACCUUGAAAAAAACCAGAUUUUCCACCGAAAUUUCCUCCAAGAAAUUCCACAAGAUUGCUUCUUUCUCCAAGAUAGAAUGAAUCUCCAAGAAACUAGAAAGUUGGAUGAUGAUUUGUAGACAAAAUGGAAGCCAAAAGAAAUGGAGUUCUCUUCCUCCCUUUCUUUUCUUGCUGUUGGCCGAAAAUGGAGAGAGAGAAA